rnacentral:rRNA from 1 species
GGUAGCACAGAGAGCUUGCUCUUGGGUGACGAGUGGCGGACGGGUGAGUAAUGUCUGGGGAUCUGCCCGAUAGAGGGGGAUAACCACUGGAAACGGUGGCUAAUACCGCAUAACGUCGCAAGACCAAAGAGGGGGACCUUCGGGCCUCUCACUAUCGGAUGAACCCAGAUGGGAUUAGCUAGUAGGCGGGGUAAUGGCCCACCUAGGCGACGAUCCCUAGCUGGUCUGAGAGGAUGACCAGCCACACUGGAACUGAGACACGGUCCAGACUCCUACGGGAGGCAGCAGUGGGGAAUAUUGCACAAUGGGCGCAAGCCUGAUGCAGCCAUGCCGCGUGUAUGAAGAAGGCCUUCGGGUUGUAAAGUACUUUCAGCGGGGAGGAAGGCGACGGGGUUAAUAACCCUGUCGAUUGACGUUACCCGCAGAAGAAGCACCGGCUAACUCCGUGCCAGCAGCCGCGGUAAUACGGAGGGUGCAAGCGUUAAUCGGAAUUACUGGGCGUAAAGCGCACGCAGGCGGUCUGUUAAGUCAGAUGUGAAAUCCCCGGGCUUAACCUGGGAACUGCAUUUGAAACUGGCAGGCUUGAGUCUUGUAGAGGGGGGUAGAAUUCCAGGUGUAGCGGUGAAAUGCGUAGAGAUCUGGAGGAAUACCG